GACCGAGCAGACGGCUCGUGCCAUUGGCCGGUCUAUGUCAGCUUUAGUCAGCACGGAGAGGCAUCUGUGGCUUAAUUUGACGGGCUCCAUCUGGCCUGUUUGGCGAUUUGGUUAAUACGGUUGUCAACAGGUUUAGGGAAGUAAAGAAACAUGAAGAAGCGUUCGUUCAGUUUCUUCCUCGCCACACUCAAGGGGAGGGGCCAUCAGCCACCCAGCCUCGCCCCGGUCCUUCAAAAACCAGGGAGGUUAAAAAGCAGAGCGUGGCGAACUGUGCUCCCCCUCGUAGGGACUGGGGACAGGUUCGCCCUGUUCAGCAACCUCCCAAGCCAGACCUCAGGACUAUCAUUAAUAAGAAGAGGAAGUCCUGACGCUCUGGCGCCCGUGCUGGUGGGGGUAGUCCCUCACGAGGUGGUGCGCGCUCGAGAGCUUUUCGCCCCGCCCCGUUACCCUCACAAAACCCCUCCAUCCCCACCGCUUCUUGUGCUGUGGGGGGCGGUGGUUUCUAGCGAGAUAAUAGAUGUUCCAGUGUUUCCUGCCGUCAUUCAGGACACGGAACAUCUAACAUCCCCUCAAAAGGAAGUGUUAAAAUUGGUACCACUCUCAGAGAGUCUGACAGCGUGGAAACUUCUGCCGGGCAUUUCUGCCUGGGUGUUGAGCACAAUACGGAUAGGAUACAGGAUCCAAUUUAUUCGUCAUCCUCCACGUUUCAACGGCAUGAUCUCUACUUCCGUGAAACUGGAGCUGAUGCAGGUACUGUCUCAAGAGCUACAAACUCUUCUGGGCAAAGAGGCCAUAGAACAUGUUCCUCUUCCAAGGAGAGAGUCGGGCUAUUACAGCAGAUACUUCCUGGUUCCCAAAAAGGGUGGGGGAGUGCGUCCAAUCUGGGAUCUUCAAUGCUUAAACCAUACAGUCCAAGCACUCAAGUUCAACAUGUUAACCGUCAAGACGGUCGUGUCACAAAUUCGGCAUCGCGAUUGGUUCAUCACGAUCGAUCUGAAGGACGCAUAUUUUCAUAUAGAAAUUUUGCCACAACACAGGAAAUUCCUGAGGUUCGCUUUCGGGGGUGAAGCAUACCAGUUUCGGGUUCUUUCAUUCGGCCUAGCCUUAUCACCCCGCACGUACACACAAUGCAUGGAUGCAGCAGGGCAUUCGCAUUUUGAAUUAUAUCGACGAUUGGCUGAUACUGGCACAAUCGUGAGAGAUGAUGCUACAACACAGG
ensembl:lncRNA